rnacentral:rRNA from 1 species
AUGAAUUCCUCCCUCAUUAGCCUCCUGAUGUACCUCAUGGGAUCCUAUAGUCUUCACGAAUCCAUCCAUAAGGAGGUCACCAAGCUCCUCUCCAGAUUUUUCUGGGCUAGAGAGAACAAUAAACAAAAGUACCACAUGGUGAACUGGUCUGAGAUCUAUAAGCCCAAGGACCAAGGGGGCCUUGGGGUCAUCUCAUCGAAGCGGAUGAACAUAGCCCUCCUCUCCAAAUGGCAAAGGCAUAUCCAGACCGGUGAGGGAGGCUUGUGGUUGGAGAUUAUCCGCGCAAAAUACCUGCGCGGGCAACUGUUGGCCUUCACCUCUCGUUCUGGAGGCUCCCAAUUCCGGCAAACGGUGGUCCGGUUGAUGCCGGUCUUGCGUAUUGGAACCUCCAUCAAAGUAGGGUCCGGCUCAGGCACCCUGUUUUGGCUAGAUAGGUGGGCUGGUAAUUGGCCCUUUGCGGAGCGCUUUCACGCCUUAUUCUCGAUUUGUGCCCAC